rnacentral:rRNA from 1 species
UACGGAAGGGGCAAGCGUUGUUCGGAAUCAUUGGGCGUAAAGGGCGCGUAGGUGGUUCUGUAUGUCUACCGUGAAAAGCGUACGGCUCAACCGUAUUUUGUCGGUAGAAACUGCAGGACUUGAGGCUGGGAGGGGCUGGUGGAAUUCCCUGUGUAGCGGUGAAAUGCGUAGAGAUGGGGGGAGAACACUCGUGGCGAAGGCGGCCAGCUAGACCAGUUCUGACACUGAGGCGCGACAGCGUGGGGGAGCAAACAGG